rnacentral:rRNA from 1 species
GACGAACGCUGGCGGCGUGCUUAACACAUGCCAGUCGAACGGAAAGGCCCUGCUUUUGUGGGGUGCUCGAGUGGCGAACGGGUGAGUAACACGUGAGUAACCUGCCCUUGACUUUGGGAUAACUUCAGGAAACUGGGGCUAAUACCGGAUAGGAGCUCCUGCUGCAUGGUGGGGGUUGGAAAGUUUCGGCGGUUGGGGAUGGACUCGCGGCUUAUCAGCUUGUUGGUGGGGUAGUGGCUUACCAAGGCUUUGACGGGUAGCCGGCCUGAGAGGGUGACCGGCCACAUUGGGACUGAGAUACGGCCCAGACUCCUACGGGAGGCAGCAGUGGGGAAUAUUGCACAAUGGGCGGAAGCCUGAUGCAGCAACGCCGCGUGCGGGAUGACGGCCUUCGGGUUGUAAACCGCUUUCGCCUGUGACGAAGCGUGAGGGACGGUAAUGGGUAAAGAAGCACAGGCUAACUACGU